rnacentral:rRNA from 1 species
AUUGAACGCCUGGCGGAAUGCUUUAACACAUGCAAGUCGAACGGUAGAGGGGGCAACCCCUUGAGAGUGGCGAACGGGUGAGUAAUAUAUCGGAACGUGCCCAGUCGUGGGGGAUAACGUAGCGAAAGUUACGCUAAUACCGCAUACGAUCUAAGGAUGAAAGCGGGGGAUCGCAAGACCUCGCGCGACUGGAGCGGCCGAUAUCAGAUUAGGUAGUUGGUAGGGUAAAGGCCUACCAAGCCAACGAUCUGUAGCUGGUCUGAGAGGACGACCAGCCACACUGGAACUGAGACACGGUCCAGACUCCUACGGGAGGCAGCAGUGGGGAAUUUUGGACAAUGGGCGAAAGCCUGAUCCAGCCAUUCCGCGUGCAGGAUGAAGGCCCUCGGGUUGUAAACUGCUUUUGUACAGAACGAAAAGGUUUCUAUUAAUACUAGGAGCUCAUGACGGUACUGUAAGAAUAAGCACCGGCUAACUACGUGCCAGCAGCCGCGGUAAUACGUAGGGUGCAAGCGUUAAUCGGAAUUACUGGGCGUAAAGCGUGCGCAGGCGGUUAUAUAAGUCAGAUGUGAAAUCCCCGGGCUCAACCUGGGAACUGCAUUUGAGACUGUAUAGCUAGAGUACGGUAGAGGGGGAUGGAAUUCCGCGUGUAGCAGUGAAAUGCGUAGAUAUGCGGAGGAACACCGAUGGCGAAGGCA